rnacentral:rRNA from 1 species
AACGAACGCUGGCGGCAUGCCUAACACAUGCAAGUCGAACGAUCCCUUCGGGGAUAGUGGCGCACGGGUGCGUAACGCGUGGGAACCUGCCCUUAGGUUCGGAAUAACUCAGAGAAAUUUGAGCUAAUACCGGAUAAUGUCUUCGGACCAAAGAUUUAUCGCCUUUGGAUGGGCCCGGGUUGGAUUAGCUAGUUGGUGGGGUAAAGGCCUACCAAGGCGACGAUCCAUAGCUGGUCUGAGAGGAUGAUCAGCCACACUGGGACUGAGACACGGCCCAGACUCCUACGGGAGGCAGCAGUGGGGAAUAUUGGACAAUGGGCGAAAGCCUGAUCCAGCAAUGCCGCGUGAGUGAUGAAGGCCUUAGGGUUGUAAAGCUCUUUUACCCGGGAUGAUAAUGACAGUACCGGGAGAAUAAGCCCCGGCUAACUCCGUG